rnacentral:rRNA from 1 species
AUUGAACGCUGGCGGCAGGCCUAACACAUGCAAGUCGAGCGGAUGAAGGGAGCUUGCUCCUGGAUUCAGCGGCGGACGGGUGAGUAAUGCCUAGGAAUCUGCCUGGUAGUGGGGGAUAACGUCCGGAAACGGGCGCUAAUACCGCAUACGUCCUGAGGUAGAAAGUGGGGGAUCUUCGGACCUCACGCUAUCAGAUGAGCCUAGGUCGGAUUAGCUAGUUGGUGGGGUAAAGGCCUACCAAGGCGACGAUCCGUAACUGGUCUGAGAGGAUGAUCAGUCACACUGGAACCGAGACACGGUCCAGACUCCUACGGGAGGCAGCAGUGGGGAAUAUUGGACAAUGGGCGAAAGCCUGAUCCAGCCAUGCCGCGUGUGUGAAGAAGGUCUUCGGAUUGUAAAGCACUUUAAGUUGGGAGGAAGGGCAGUAAGUUAAUACCUUGCUGUUUUGACGUUACCAACAGAAUAAGCACCGGCUAACUUCGUG